CUUUGUGAGGUAAUUUAAAUAAGUAAUCCACUAAAAUGAUCCAAAAUGGGACAUGGACUCAACAUAAAAAAACAAACAAAAAAAAACAAACACAAACAAACUGAACUGGCUGUGAAAUGUGCCAUUCAACAUCCACAUAUACCUGGCAAAGGUACAUAUGGGGCUAUUGCUGUACAGAGACAACAUAGCUGAGCAACAUAUGACAUAUUGCCAUAGAAC